CAGUAGCCGCGGUAAUACGUAGGUGGCAAGCGUUGUCCGGAAUUAUUGGGCGUAAAGGGCUCGCAGGCGGUUUCUUAAGUCUGAUGUGAAAGCCCCCGGCUCAACCGGGGAGGGUCAUUGGAAACUGGGAAACUUGAGUGCAGAAGAGGAGAGUGGAAUUCCACGUGUAGCGGUGAAAUGCGUAGAGAUGUGGAGGAACACCAGUGGCGAAGGCGACUCUCUGGUCUGUAACUGACGCUGAGGAGCGAGAGCGUGGGGAGCGAACAGGAUUAGAUACCCGCGUAGUCCCUGUCUCUUAUAC
rnacentral:rRNA from 1 species